AUACGUAGGGUGCUAGCGUUAUCCGGAUUUACUGGGCGUAAAGGGUGCGUAGGUGGUCUUUCAAGUCGGUGGUUAAAGGCUACGGCUCAACCGUAUUAAGCCGCCGAAACUGGAAGACUUGAGUGCAGGAGAGGAAAGUGGAAUUCUCAGUGUAGCGGUGAAAUGCGUAGAUAUUGAGAAGAACACCAGUAGCGAAGGCGGCUUUCUGGACUGUAACUGACACUGAGGCACGAAAGCGUGGGUAGCAAACAGGAUUAGAUACCCUGGUAGUCCACGCCGUAAACGAUGAGUAUUAGGUGUCGGGGGUUACCCCCCUCGGUGCCGCAGUUAACGCAUUAAAUACUCCGCCUGGGGAGUACGCACGCAAGUGUGAAACUCAAAUGAAUUGGCGGGG
rnacentral:rRNA from 1 species